rnacentral:RNase_P_RNA from 1 species
AGCAGGCCAGGCAGUCGCGCAGGCAUGCCGAAAGGCCGUCUGUGAGGAAAGUCCGGGCUCCACAGGGCAAGGAUAACGGGUAACGCCCGCCGAAGGCGACUUCAGGAAAAGUGCAACAGAGAUAUACCGCUGGUGAGCGGCCGGUUGAAACUGGUACGCGCCAGCAAGGGUGGAAAGGCGAGGUAAGAGCUCACCCAUCCCCAUGGUAACAUGGGGAUGCUGUAAACUCUAUUCGGAGCAACACCGCGGACAGGACAUAUGGCCGGCCCGGCCGUCCUUAGGAGGUGGCUUGAGCGCGUUGGUAACAGCGCGUCGAGAUAGAUGACUGCUUAAUACAGAACCCGGCUUACAGACCUGCUCAA